AGUUACUCCUCAAUCCCGGUGUUUUGGUUUUUUUGUUUGUUUUUUUUUGUGUGUGUGCUGUGCAGACCGCGACCGAGCUGCUUGUGUGCUUGGCUUGCUCCAACACGAAUAAUGCAUGCUUGCCCGACCAUUCCCCGCCGGACUACCCUUUACUCCUCCCUUGCCCCUGGAAUCACCUUGGGGCUUUGCGCUCCUUUCUUGUUUUUACUCCCUUUUGCAUGACCACAUCUGGCCCUUUUGAUGUUAUUCCGCUUUGUCCUCUGGUGUUUUUUGAUUGGUUGUUAUCCGACCCUCAAUUCCUCUUCGAAGCAAGCUGAUGAUUUUGCACACAGCUGCCUGCUUUUGUGAACUUCACAUCAUACUUUGCUCUUUCACCGUUCCCUGUCUUUCAACCAAUUGCCAAAGCCUUCUCUGAGAGAAGACCAUUAUUACUUUUUGGUUGCUCUCCCUAAUUCACUGCUCCUUACCUUACUUUUUUUUUGUGCUCGGAAUCUCCAAUUGCUUCCCAAACGAUCGACAUCACUUUGUCGUGCUUGUUUUUGUGUUUGUCCCCAUUGUGCUCCGUGAGGAUUUUUUUUGUUGUUUUUGUUUUGUGUUUUUGUUUCGGCUUAAACUGUUGGCUUGCCAAAUUCAGGAGGACACCCUCCCGGUACUGUGGCAGCCUUUGUGGGUGAUGCCGUGAGUUUUCACACACAACUCCAAAGGGAAGUAGUUGUCCACGCUGGGACAGAAUUUACCACCGUGAAAUUGUUGGCCACUAAAGACUGUUGAGAGAACGAAGAGGCAUGGGGAAUGCGUGCCAACUCGAAGCACAGCGGAUGAGAUGUAGGAUCAUGUGAAGAGAUGUUUGCUCCACUUUUAAAUGACUGGUGGGAGAGUUGAUUUGACGGAUUAAUUGCGCGCUACAACAUGGGCGUAAACGGCCGUGAGAGUGAUUUAAAUGUAAGCCAAUGAAUCCAGUCUCCCGUUACAACUUUAUUCCCUCUUAUUUGUUGUAAAAGUUUUAAACUUUUUAGAAUUUUAGAACUACAUAUCUUAAAGUUAUGACUUUAUUUGCAGUAUUCCAAUUUAGACUACAGUAUUCCCGUAAGCUUUUGCCUUUGUUCUCAUUCCCCAGCCGUCUUAAAACAGUUGAGCAGGAUUUUCCUCAAACAUAAUUGUUUUUAAUACAUUUUAUUUUUUUUUACGUGCAGAAAAUGCACAAACAAAUUAAGAUUCAGUUACUGUUUUAUUUAUUUUUUUGUCCAUAAGGCAGAAAAAGUGUCGAUCGUUAUUUUCCAAAUUAAAAACACAGGUUUGCGAGCCUUUGUUGCAGUCCUCUGUGCAAUCCCCAUAACAGAGUGCCAGAGGAGCUGUUAUGAAAAGCCUCCAAACCAUUAACCCUCAAAUACUGAAUCAAACACUUGUUUGAUCAGUCUAGAUUUAGUAUUAGCCUUGGAGUACUUUAUGCAAACAAAAAUGGCCCCUGCCCCACAGCGGGUAAAAUCACCUGCCCCGGACUGCCGAGAAAACAAAACGACCACAAAUCGGACUACUAGUCACACACUUGCGACCGCAAGGCUUUACAACAGGGCUUUCACCGCUUCCCAAAAUAGGCGAGCGUAAUGUGCCCCAGAGGCCUGGCUGCCAUUAUAGCGGCCUCAAGGAAAACUGCGUCGAAUGAAUGGCUUGUCUGUGAAUGGCUGUAUGCUUGUGACAUGGUUGUAUUUCCUCCUUUCAUUGUUUACCACAGACACGCCCAGCAUAGGUGUAUUUACUUGAUUUGUUAUAAGCACAAAUCAAUAUUGUUGUCUCUCAGGAACAAACUGUGAAUCGAUACUUGAAGGUAGUGGAUGAAUCUUUACAACCUUAGUGCAUACCACUCCAGCUGUCAACUGUGCCUCACCAGACCUUAUUUCAGCCUGGAUCAAAGCAACAAAGGAAUUUGGCGUGUUUUGCUUUUUCGUUGUUUUUGCAACACUUUAUCCAAUAAUCAGAUUGGCACAGAGAGAAGAAUAACCAUGGGCCAGUCAGCAGACUCAAAAAAGACCAGAAAUAAAUGUGUCUGCUGUUCCCGAGUGUUUCAGGAGCUGCUUUCACUUUGUUUUCGUGAUAAAUAGCUGCUGGACUUGAACUUGGAUCUUCUGUGACUCACGUUAUACAUCGAAGUCCAUCCGUUUCUGCUGUUUGAGCUAACGUUAGCAUCUCCGCUAGCUUGUUUUUCCCCGCUUUGCAGAUGCAGAUGCUAAUCAAAACUCCAGCUUUUCCUUUUAAAUAGUUUAAUGACCACAAAGGAACCUUCUGUGCGGAAAAUGGGAGGCAACGUCGCAUGGAAAUCCUCGCCACGCACAUCACGUGUCCAUAUGUUCACUCUCCUCUUAAGUUUUUCAGAUCCUCCUCCGCCAUGUGACUAAAAGAACGGGCGUGUUGUUUUUUUUUUGUUGUUUUUUUUUUAAAAAGCUCGCCAUCGGCAUACUAAAUAUACCCUUUGUAGGACCUGAACCCUCAUUUGCCUUUUCUGUGGCCACUUUAGGUUGACAUAUUCGCUCCGCCGCGGUACCACAGCUACUCAUUACAUAGGAGGGCUUCCAUUUUACAUCCUCUGUAUCGUGUUUCCUUCACACAAGCUCUUAUCCUAUUUAGGUCAGUCAUUGAUCAUUCAGCCACACUCUUUUCAAUAUAACUAGGAGUAGUUUUGUUUUUGGCUCCCUUGUGUUCUCGUGAUAAUUUGUGGAAAGGCGUGGAUUGUAUAAAUGUUCCUCCAGCGUUGAAACACAAUCUGUUCUGUGAUGCUGGUCAAACAAACCAAAGCAGAGUCUGGCAAUUUUUUUCGGUAACGUCAAGGGUUUAGCAGGAGUUAACCACUGUCAAAUAAAUAAGAUAAAAGCACUCUUAAUCUAAUGAAAAUUCACCUUCCUUUUGAUCCACUGCUGGCGUGAGAAGCUAACGUCAAAAGUUUAAACUGGAAAAAAAAAAGAAACGUAGUAUUGUGUCAUUUUUUACAGUGGGUAUCGGUGGUUAAGCCCUUUUAUCGUGGUUGAAAUGAGGUUUAGUCAGAUGACAUGCCAGUUCAAAAUUUGUCUGACAGUUAAGGCAUAUUUUACAAGCUAUAAGGCAUAUACGACUGUAUCUAAUCACAUAAUCAUCCAACCGUCCAUCUGUCAUCUGGUGAGGUUUCAGUGGAUAAUGCAUCCAGACUGCUGUGUCAUCUCUCAGCGGCUGGCCAACCACCGGAGGUCACACCGGUACAUUUAGAUCUUGAAAUUGCACUUUUCCCGAAGUAAUUACGACGAGGCAGCCUUUGAAACACACAGACCAAAAACCACACACUUAUCCACCUGUAGCCAUGACGUUGGAAUGGGACAGAAGUUUCAAUCAUCGUACGAAUGAAUGAUUGCCAGCUGGAGUUGUAAUGCUUGGUUAAGCCUAAACGCAGAGAUUGUUAAAGCCUCGGCUGGACUGACAGAAUCAGUUCAGCAUGCUGCGGGGAACCCGAAAGCUGCCGGCAUUUGUUUUAAGGCUUUUGGCUUGUGUGGUCCACUGUCCUGCCCACCUCUUAGUUUACCGUAUCGCUUCCAUUGACAUAUUUAUAGCCAAACGUGCAUUUAGUACUUUUAUCGGGCCGAUCCUCAGCAUUGUGUUUCAAGUGAUGACCGCCCUCAUUCACGUUGACUUCACAGUCCUCGCCGAACCUCUGGAAGCCCUGCUGCUGGUUCACGUGGUGAUUUUAGGGAGCUAGACCGCUAUAAUCCGAGGAGUUCUCCUAAAUAUUGGGAUUGCGCCGCACCGAUCCCUCCCCCGGGGGGUCAGAUGAAGGGAGGAAAGCCAUAUGUGAUUCACCGCUUGAUCUUGCAAAUCCUACUCAUAAAAUUUGGGGAUUUGAAAUUGAAAAUCCAGCUGUUUCGUCAAAGUACAGUACAUAAAAGAAUAUUAACUAAGACAGGCUAAAGUGAAAAUGGAAAAAAAAAAGUGUCUUCAAUGUAUGAGUUUUACUGACUUACUAUUAAAACUUCUUUAAUGCAUUGUCAGGUACUCUACAUGUAAAAUGUAUGAAGGUUUGGCCUCUGUCAACAUGGUAUGCCACGUUUUCUUCAUAAUUCCAAUGAUGCUUAAGCAUUUUAAUAUCAUAAUGUUGAUUUUUAUGAAUUAAAAAAAUACUAAAAUCUUUAAAAAUCUAUAUAUUCAAAUACUAACCAAUUCCAAUGCGUAAGGGUGUUUGAUUUUGUUUCAUCGACCAGUCUGCUGGCGUGAGGAAGAAUAAGAGGCAGUACUUCUCUGUGGCAUUGAUGUUGAUGCAUGAGCCAGCGUGAGCUCUGAGAGGUUGGCAGCUCGUGAAUGUCCCAAUUCUGCAGCAUCCGCCUUCGCCGCUAUGCUCUCCGGAUGCCCAGAGUCUUGUCUGCAUUGCAUUUGAAAUGUGGGAAGACACCAUCUUGUAUUGUGGGAUGUAACAACUACACAAGUUCCCUGUUGAAUAAAUGUUCCCCAAUUACAUUCCAGCUAAACCUUGACAUUUCUUUGGAUCUUAUCGUGGCCUACACGUGUAAAGUCUUCCUGGGAAAUGGACAGAAUCCCAAAUUGCAUAGCCACGGUUCUCGUGUGCACACAGAUAGGCGAAUGCUCCUUACACGAUCCUCUCUUCCUCAAGUGGGCAUCCAGCCAACAUCAGUGCUCGGUCACCAGCAUGGUACUGAGAACCCCGUGGCCAUGAGCAGGUGUCCGCCUCCUUGUGAAGCCCAAGGAGCCGAGAAGGCAAUACAAAGGGCUCAAAAGAGGCCUGCCAGCAUGGUAACCAUCUUGAAUAUCCAGGCCCGGUACGGCGGCGCCUCUAAAUCUGUCAGCGGCCGUAGGGUGGCUGCCAGUUUUGCUCAUUCUGCUACUGUAGCCCACCAAGCCCUUCGAAUGGGCUUUUAAGCUUUUGUUAAGCCUUGACCUAAAUGGGGCGCAUACACAGCGCAAGCUAGGAUUGGUUAAGAGUUCACGGACACCUAGAAAGUUGUGAUUCGGACUCUUGCCCUUCCCCCCCCCCCUUUUUUUUUU